rnacentral:rRNA from 1 species
GGUCCAGACUUUGAUCCUGGCUCUGGACGAACGCUGGCGGCGCGCCUAACACAUGCAAGUCGAACGAGAGAUGAAGAGCUUGCUCUUCAAAUCGAGUGGCGAACGGGUGAGUAACGCGUGAGGAACCUGCCUCAAAGAGGGGGACAACAGUUGGAAACGACUGCUAAUACCGCAUAAGCCCACGGCUCGGCAUCGAGCAGAGGGAAAAGGAGCAAUCCGCUUUGAGAUGGCCUCGCGUCCGAUUAGCUAGUUGGUGAGGUAACGGCCCACCAAGGCAACGAUCGGUAGCCGGACUGAGAGGUUGAACGGCCACAUUGGGACUGAGACACGGCCCAGACUCCUACGGGAGGCAGCAGUGGGGAAUAUUGCACAAUGGGGGAAACCCUGAUGCAGCGACGCCGCGUGGAGGAAGAAGGUCUUCGGAUUGUAAACUCCUGUUGUUGAGGAAGAUAAUGACGGUACUCAACAAGGAAGUGACGGCUAACUACGUGCCAGCAGCCGCGGUAAAACGUAGGUCACAAGCGUUGUCCGGAAUUACUGGGUGUAAAGGGAGCGCAGGCGGGAGAACAAGUUGGAAGUGAAAUCCAUGGGCUCAACCCAUGAACUGCUUUCAAAACUGUUUUUCUUGAGUAGUGCAGAGGUAGGCGGAAUUCCCGGUGUAGCGGUGGAAUGCGUAGAUAUCGGGAGGAACACCAGUGGCGAAGGCGGCCUACUGGGCACUAACUGACGCUGAGGCUCGAAAGUGUGGGUAGCAAACAGGAUUAGAUACCCUGGUAGUCCACACCGUAAACGAUGAUUACUAGGUGUUGGAGGAUUGACCCCUUCAGUGCCGCAGUUAACACAAUAAGUAAUCCACCUGGGGAGUACGACCGCAAGGUUGCAACUCAAAGGAAUUGACGG